rnacentral:rRNA from 1 species
ACGUGUGCAACCUACUUAUCUGGAGGAUAGCCUUUACGAAAGGAAGAUUAAUACUCCAUAGUAUAUUGAUUGGCAUCAAUUGAUAUUGAAAGCUCCGGCGGAUAGAGAUGGGCACGCGCAAGAUUAGUUAGUUGGUGAGGUAACGGCUCACCAAGACGAUGAUCUUUAGGGGCCUGAGAGGGUGACUCCCCCACACUGGUACUGAGACACGGACCAGACUCCUACGGGAGGCAGCAGUGAGGAAUAUUGGUCAAUGGGUGCAAGCCUGAACCAGCCACUCCCGCGUGAAGGACGACUGCCCUAUGGGUUGUAAACUUCUUUUGUAUAGGGAUAAACCUACCCUCGUGAGGGUAGCUGAAGGUACUAUACGAAUAAGCACCGGCUAACUCCGUG